CGACUAACGACUAAUUCAGGUAAUGGAGCAAUACACAUUGAUCUCCAUAUCUUUUCCUUUUCAAAGAAGUUAUUUGGUUUUUAUCUAAAGUUGUUUUCUUUAUUUCUUUUUGUGAAGUGUCUGAUUUAGUUUGAAUGUGAUUUCGAUUUGAUGUUGGGUUAAAUAGGGUUUCAAUUUCUCAAUCAAGAAUGAUCGAGAGAGCGAUACUAAUAUUGAGGCAAAGGGAACUCUCAUCUCAUUAUCUCAGCACGCACAAGGUUAAUUAGUUGCUCUCUUGCUCUUCGUCACGAGACUGAUUGGAUAUAGAAGAAGGAAGUGGGAGAGAAAUCUGGGUGGGUUUGGAUUAGGGUCCCAAAUUUUCAAUCAUUAGAUUUGUUUUGUUUUUCGAUUUUGAAUUGUUCUCUCAUUCAGAUGGCGGGAUGUAGUGGUUUUGGGUCUGCAGGUUUCGGUUUGGGGCUUUACUUUGUAUAACUUUGCGAUACGAUUUCAGUUUGUCUGUAGUUGUUUAUUUGGCUUAAUUAUGUCUUCCUCUUACACAGAAACACCUUCUCAAUUCAUCAUCGACAUCUUUUAUUUUGCACAUAUGAGGUAAAACAAGAAGUCUGGAUUUGGGAAAAAGAGGAGGGAUGAAAAGCGAAUAGGAGUCCAGCUGGCAUUGGAGCAAGUUUGUGUUCUUUGUUUCCACCUUCACAUCAUGAGCCUUCAAUAAAUUGACUCGGUAGUGCAAGCAUUACCCUUGAUGUUCAGACAAGAGGUAAUGGUAGCAUGUGUGUGUAAAGAUCAGCAUUAUUAUGUUUUACUUUUUUUCCUUUCUUGGUUUACUCUAUAUAAUGGUAGCAUCAAAAUCAUAAUCUAACAAGAGGGGGCGGUUAAUGUUAGAAUGUAUGAUUAUAAUGGUACUUACAUGAUUUAGUUGAAACUGAGUUGCAAGCCGAGACAAGCAAGACUGGCUGACUUUCAUUCAUUUAGUAGCAAUAGAUAAUUAAUUAGUUACUUCCAUAGUUUGAUACUGUGUUUUCUGAUCAUUUUAAAUAUUAAGGUUUUCUUGUGGCUAGGUGAUCUUUUUUCAGGUCUUGUUUGGUGGUCACUACGGUGUCUACUGUUGAUUCUUGGUUCUUGAUUCUUUGGGGUGAUAUCCAAUUCGUCAGUUCUCAAGGUAUGCGUAAUGCUCUCAAAUUUCAUUUAGUUUGAUAUCCAAUUCAAAUAUUUCAAAUACAUGUAGGUCAUCUUUAGUUAAUAGAGUAAAUAAAAAGAAAUGAACAAACUCAUAAGGCUAAUGAUCUAUGUAAUUACAGACAUGCCCACACAUGGCAAGCCAAAUGAGUGUGAUCAUAUUUUGCUUGGCAGUAGGUUUGUAAUUGUGAUGAGUUUCAUUCAGUAUAUACUUCUAAAACAUACUCUGAGCUAAUUUAAGUAUUGCAUUUCGAGUUUAAAACACAACUUUAUUUCAUCAUAACCUGCUAUCCCGAAACCAAAGUUUUCACAGACAUAGAAAGAACUUUGCCUGUCGUUUUAACAAACCAGUGCUGAAAGUCAUUCACAUAAUAUGAAUAUCCUGAUAGAACUUAAUGUUCCAUAUUAAGGGUUUCUUCUGGUGAUCUUUUUGAAUUGGAUAAGCUUCAGAAACUAAGUGAUCCUUUUGUUUCGUCUAUAUGUACAAUAUUCACGUGUCUUGAAGAUUCUAAUUAUCAUCCAUGUUAAAAUUUCUCUCUUAUUGAUCAAAACCAUAUUAUGAAAUGGCACGUAUAGUUAUAUAUUCUCUAAGAUCUUGAGAAACCAUGAGUGUUAGAGGAAUCUUCUUAAUAACUCUUAGAUGUCAUGGUGUGAGAGUUCUGCCACUUUUAAAUGAUCAUGAUUACUAUUUUAUGUCAUGUAGAACAUCAAUUGAGCAAGGAAGAAAAUGCCAGAUCAUGAGUCCAUUGAGCAAAAGUAUAAUAUAAAAGUUUAUUGCAAUUUCAUGAAGAGAAGAGUUGUAUCUUCCAAUAGUAACAGAGAAGUGAUAGGAAAAAUGAUCCUCUUUAGAUUAUAAGGUGUAUUGAUUUU